rnacentral:sRNA from 2 species
GCGGGGUUUCCCCCGCCCUGGUAGUCUUAGUAAGCCGGGAAGCUUAUGACUAAGAGCACCACGAUGAUGAUCCACUUCAUCAUG